rnacentral:rRNA from 1 species
AGUUUGAUCAGUGGCUACGAGGACGAACGCUGGCGGCAUGCCUAACACAUGCAAGUCUAGGGGUAGCAAUACCACUGGCGCACGGGUGAGUAACACGUAGGUUAUCUGCCCCCAUCACAGACAUAACCCCGGGAAACCGGGGCUAAUAUCUGAUGAGGUCGCGAGAUCAAAGCUUCGGCGGAUGGGGAUGAGCCUGCGGCUGAUUAGCUAGUUGGUGAGGUAAUGGCUCACCAAGGCGACGAUCAGUAGCUGGUCUGAGAGGACGAACAGCCACACUGGAACUGAGACACGGUCCAGACUCCUACGGGAGGCAGCAGUGAGGAAUAUUGGUCAAUGGGAGCAAUCCUGAACCAGCAAUGCCGCGUGUGGGAUGACAGGGCUUCGCCUUGUAAACCACUGUCGGACGGGACGAAAGGAGGCCUCGGGCCUCUGGGACGGUACCGUCAAAGGAAGGGUCGGCUAACUACGUG